CCAAUAGCGUAUAUUAAAGUUGUUGCAGUUAAAAAGCUCGUAGUUGAAUUUCGGGGUCAGUAGGUCGGUCGUGCCACUGGUAUGAACUGGUUUCACUGAUUCCUCCCUCUUGUAGAACCGUAAUGCCAUUAACUUGGUGUUGCGGGGAAACAGGACUGUUACUUUGAAAAAAUUAGAGUGUUUAAAGCAGGCUAACGCUUGAAUACAUUAGCAUGGAAUAAUGAAAUAGGACGUCUGUCUUAUUUUGUUGGUUUCUAGGAUGGACGUAAUGAUUAAUAGGGAUAGUUGGGGGCAUUAGUAUUCAAUUGUCAGAGGUGAAAUUCUUGGAUUUAUUGAAGACUAACUACUGCGAAAGCAUUUGCCAAGGAUGUUUUCAUUAAUCAAGAACGAAAGUUAGGGGAUCGAAGACGAUCAGAUACCGUCGUAGUCUUAACCAUAAACUAUGCCGACUAGGGAUCGGAUGAUGUUAAUUUUUUAAUGACUCAUUCGGCGCCUUACG
rnacentral:rRNA from 1 species